GACGAACGCUGGCGGCGUGCUUAACACAUGCAAGUCGAGCGGUAAGGCCCUUUCGGGGUACACGAGCGGCGAACGGGUGAGUAACACGUGGGUGACCUGCCCUCAGCUCUGGGAUAAGCCUGGGAAACUGGGUCUAAUACCGGAUAUGACUCCACGGCGCAUGUUGUGGGGUGGAAAGCCUUGUGUGGCUAGAGAUGGGCCCGCGGCCUAUCAGCUUGUUGGUGGGGUGAU
rnacentral:rRNA from 1 species